rnacentral:misc_RNA from 1 species
GAUGAAGAACGCAGCGAAAUGCGAUAAGUAAUGUGAAUUGCAGAAUUCAGUGAAUCAUCGAAUCUUUGAACGCACAUUGCGCCCCUUGGUAUUCCGAGGGCAUGCCUGUUCGAGCGUCAUUACACCACUCAAGCUAUGCUUGGUAUUGGGCGUCGUCCUUAGUUGGGCGCGCCUUAAAGACCUCGGCGAGGCCACUCCGGCUUUAGGCGUAGUAGAAUUUAUUCGAACGUCUGUCAAAGGAGAGGAACUCUGCCGACUGAAACCUUUAUUUUUCUAGGUUGACCUCGGAUCAGGUAGGGAUACCCGCUGAACUUAAGCAUAUCAAUAAGCGGAGGA